GUGACCGAAUCGACGUGCAAUAUUUAUCCGCCGUACAUUAUCUCCGGAACGCUACAUCACGUCCACAACGCGAAUACAUAAUAACGGCGAACGAUAUACGUGACUGAAGGUACGCCCGAUCGUGUCAUGUACAUCAAUAAUAACGAAAUAAUUAAAUUAUGGCGAAAUCUGCGGCAGUCCAAAGUGUCAUGUAUAUAAAAGGAGGAAGAGAGGGGAAAGCGGCUGUUUUCCCUCUGUUCUGUUACGCGGAACAAAGGGAUCCUUCGCGAGCAGCUGCACGGUGGUCGACCCUCAGAGUGUGACGAAAUAGGGCCUCUUUCCGAAUGUUUUGGUCAGGUGAAGAUUUGCAUACCGGUGAAACGAGUCUGUCGACAUCGCGGUCACUCUCGAAACCGUGCGCUUCCGAUUCAGUGUGCGCUCGGACGUCCUUCAAAAGCGUCAGUUCAGUCACCCGCCGAGACGGAAAAAUGUGAAUUGUUCAGUGUGUGCAAUCAAUGUCGUGUUUGUAAUGUGUGACCGCCAAACAAUAAUAAUUACGGCGUUCUUAACGUUUAUCGAUACGAGACGUGACCGUAGGAGAACUAUUCAUUUCUGCGAGGAAUGUGGAAAGGCCGGAUUCUGGAAGAUAUUUUUUCUACACUCACUCCUCGGUUUAUGCAAACAUGCGGCAAACAACACCACCGUUCAAACAAGAAACCAGACACAAAUAAGAAAUCCGACAUGCUGGAAGACAUUGGUCAGAUUCUGCGGUAACGACGGCGACCGCCCCUUUCUUCGGUCUCCGUUGAAAAUAUUCCCGGCCAUUUUUCGCCCCACCAACGCAAUCCACCCUCCGAAAGAAAAGCAGCGAGGGUGGGGUAGCCUGUAAGGGGUGAGACAAUGGAAAAAGUACCGCCAUCUUUAAUUCUGUCCCUAUUCGUCUCAGCGAGGGACGAAGGGCUAUUCAUCCCGCAGGAUAUCUGACUAGCCAAUGUGUCUUGGGACACCAUAGAAAUCAACAGGUUCGGGUCGUAGGUGCUAGAUGGAGAUGCAUCAUCGCAAGCCAAUUUCUGCGUCGAUUUAAUUACCGAAUUAUUGUAUACAAUGUUUUUCGUUGUUUAUUUAAUAAAUUGACAUAAUUUUAAAUGUA